rnacentral:misc_RNA from 1 species
UUAAAACAGCCUGUGGGUUGUUCCCACCCACAGGCCCAUUGGGCGCUAGCACUCUGGUAUCACGGUACCUUUGUGCGCCUGUUUUACAUCCCCUCCCCAAAUUGUAAUUUAGAAGUUUCACACACCGAUCAUUAGCAAGCGUGGCACACCAGCCAUGUUUUGAUCAAGCACUUCUGUUACCCCGGACUGAGUAUCAAUAGACCGCUAACGCGGUUGAAGGAGAAAACGUUCGUUACCCGGCCAACUACUUCGAAAAACCUAGUAACACCAUGGAAGUUGCGGAGUGUUUCGCUCAGCACUACCCCAGUGUAGAUCAGGUCGAUGAGUCACCGCGUUCCCCACGGGCGACCGUGGCGGUGGCUGCGUUGGCGGCCUGCCUACGGGGAAACCCGUAGGACGCUCUAAUACAGACAUGGUGCGAAGAGUCUAUUGAGCUAGUUGGUAAUCCUCCGGCCCCUGAAUGCGGCUAAUCCUAACUGCGGAGCACAUACCCUCAAACCAGGGGGCAGUGUGUCGUAACGGGCAACUCUGCAGCGGAACCGACUACUUUGGGUGUCCGUGUUUCAUUUUAUUCCUAUACUGGCUGCUUAUGGUGACAAUUGACAGGUUGUUACCAUAUAGUUAUUGGAUUGGCCAUCCGGUGACUAACAGAGCAAUUAUAUAUCUCUUUGUUGGGUUUAUACCACUUAGCUUGAAAGAGGUUAAAACACUACAUCUCAUCAUUAAACUAAAUACAACAAAAUGGGGGCUCAAGUAUCAACACAAAAGACUGGAGCACAUGAGACCGGGCUGAAUGCAAGCGGGAAUUCCAUCAUCCAUUACACAAACAUAAACUACUAUAAAGAUGCUGCAUCCAACUCAGCCAACAGACAGGAUUUCACUCAAGACCCAGGUAAAUUUACUGAGCCAGUGAAGGACAUUAUGAUCAAAUCGAUGCCAGCAUUGAACUCCCCCUCUGCCGAAGAGUGUGGUUAUAGUGACAGGGUUCGAUCAAUAACCCUCGGGAACUCCACUAUCACAACACAGGAGUGUGCUAAUGUUGUGGUUGGGUAUGGUGUGUGGCCAGAAUAUUUGAAGGACAAUGAAGCCACAGGCGAGGACCAACCAACACAACCCGACGUGGCCACAUGUCGGUUCUACACUUUAGAGUCCGUGCAGUGGAUGAAGAAUUCAGCAGGUUGGUGGUGGAAGUUACCAGAUGCACUUUCACAAAUGGGGUUGUUUGGACAAAAUAUGCAGUACCACUACUUAGGGAGAACAGGCUACACCAUCCACGUGCAGUGCAACGCAUCUAAGUUUCAUCAGGGCUGUCUACUAGUGGUGUGUGUGCCGGAAGCGGAAAUGGGAUGCUCAAAUCUAAACAACACCCCAAAGUUUGCUGAACUUUCCGGAGGAGAUAAUGCUAGAAUGUUCACUGACACCGAAGUGGGGACAUCCAACGAUAAGAAAGUACAAACAGCAGUGUGGAAUGCAGGUAUGGGUGUUGGUGUUGGCAACCUGACUAUAUUCCCACACCAGUGGAUCAACCUGAGGACAAACAAUAGUGCUACCAUUGUAAUGCCUUACAUCAACAGCGUUCCCAUGGACAACAUGUAUAGACACAACAACUUGACACUGAUGAUAAUCCCAUUCGUCCCGCUCAACUAUAGUGAGGGAUCAUCACCUUACGUACCAAUCACAGUCACAAUUGCGCCAAUGUGCGCAGAAUACAAUGGCCUUAGACUGGCUAGUAGCCAGGGUUUGCCCGUCAUGACGACACCGGGUAGCACGCAAUUUCUGACUUCUGAUGAUUUCCAAUCGCCAUCAGCAAUGCCACAAUUCGACGUCACACCAGAGAUGCAGAUCCCGGGUCGUGUCAACAAUCUGAUGGAAAUAGCUGAGGUGGACUCUGUGGUCCCAGUGAACAACACUGACAACAACGUGAAUGGUCUUAAAGCCUACCAAAUCCCCGUGCAAUCCAAUAGCGACAAUAGAAGGCAAGUGUUCGGGUUUCCCUUACAACCUGGGGCCAACAAUGUUCUCAACAGGACUUUGUUAGGUGAGAUUUUGAACUACUACACCCACUGGAGUGGUAGUAUAAAGCUCACGUUCAUGUUUUGUGGAUCGGCGAUGGCCACUGGGAAGUUUUUGUUAGCAUACUCACCACCAGGCGCAGGGGUUCCAAAAAACAGAAGAGACGCAAUGUUGGGUACACAUGUCAUCUGGGACGUGGGUUUGCAAUCAAGUUGUGUACUUUGUGUACCCUGGAUCAGCCAGACACACUAUAGGUAUGUGGUGGAGGAUGAGUAUACAGCGGCAGGGUAUGUUACAUGCUGGUACCAAACAAAUAUCAUUGUUCCAGCGGACGUUCAAAGCACAUGCGACAUCUUGUGCUUCGUAUCGGCAUGCAAUGAUUUCUCUGUGCGUAUGUUAAAGGAUACCCCUUUUAUAAGACAAGACAAUUUUUACCAGGGCCCAGUGGAAGAAUCGGUGGAACGCGCCAUGGUGCGCGUGGCUGAUACGGUCAGCUCAAAGCCUACGAAUUCAGAAUCCAUCCCCGCCCUCACUGCUGCGGAGACUGGUCAUACCUCUCAAGUCGUACCCAGUGACACCAUGCAAACUAGACACGUGAAGAAUUACCACUCAAGGUCGGAAUCUUCCAUUGAAAAUUUCUUGUGCCGAUCUGCUUGUGUGUAUUACGCCACCUACAAUAAUAAUUCUGAGAAGGGCUACGCAGAGUGGGUUAUCAACACCAGGCAGGUUGCGCAGUUGCUGAGGAGGAAACUAGAGUUCACUUACUUAAGGUUCGAUCUGGAAUUGACAUUUGUGAUAACAAGUGCCCAGGAGCCCAGUACCGCUACCAGUGUAGACGCACCUGUACAAACCCAACAGAUAAUGUAUGUGCCUCCAGGCGGGCCGGUACCUACCAAGGUUACAGACUACGCCUGGCAAACAUCCACAAACCCCAGCGUCUUUUGGACAGAGGGGAAUGCCCCACCGAGGAUGUCUAUUCCCUUCAUCAGUAUUGGAAAUGCUUAUAGCUGCUUUUAUGAUGGAUGGACACAGUUCUCUAGGAAUGGGGUUUACGGCAUUAAUACCCUGAACAACAUGGGUACGCUGUACAUGCGGCACGUAAAUGAGGCAGGCCAAGGCCCGAUCAAAAGUACAGUUAGAAUAUAUUUUAAACCCAAACAUGUGAAGGCGUGGGUGCCCAGACCGCCGAGGCUAUGUCAAUAUGAGAAGCAAAAGAAUGUUAAUUUCAACCCAACAGGAGUCACCACAACGCGCUCAAACAUUACCACAACCGGCGCUUUUGGACAACAGUCAGGGGCUGUCUACGUAGGCAACUACAGAGUGGUGAAUAGACACCUCGCCACCCGCGAGGACUGGCAGCGGUGCGUGUGGGAAGAUUACAACAGAGAUCUUCUUGUGAGUACAACCACGGCACAUGGAUGCGAUAUCAUAGCCAGGUGUCAGUGCACAACCGGGGUUUAUUUCUGUGCGUCAAGGAAUAAGCACUAUCCAGUUUCCUUUGAGGGGCCGGGUCUUGUGGAGGUUCAAGAGAGUGAGUACUAUCCAAAGAGGUACCAAUCCCACGUGCUUUUAGCGGCAGGCUUUUCCGAACCAGGGGAUUGUGGUGGAAUCCUAAGGUGCGAACAUGGUGUCGUGGGCAUUGUAACUAUGGGAGGGGAGGGUGUUGUUGGCUUUGCCGACGUACGCGACCUGCUGUGGUUAGAAGAUGAUGCAAUGGAGCAGGGGGUCAAAGAUUACGUAGAGCAACUUGGAAACGCCUUUGGGUCAGGAUUCACUAACCAAGUCUGUGAACAGGUUAACCUUUUGAAAGAGUCCCUAGUGGGCCAAGACUCCAUCUUAGAAAAAUCUCUGAAAGCCCUAGUAAAAAUUGUGUCAGCCUUGGUGAUAGUCGUGAGGAACCACGACGAUUUAAUAACAGUGACUGCAACACUUGCCCUCAUUGGCUGCACCUCCUCACCAUGGAGAUGGCUUAAGCAAAAGGUGUCCCAGUACUAUGGCAUUCCAAUGGCUGAGCGCCAGAACAGUGGUUGGCUCAAGAAGUUCACUGAAAUGACCAACGCCUGCAAGGGAAUGGAGUGGAUAGCUAUUAAAAUCCAGAAAUUUAUAGAAUGGCUCAAAGUUAAAAUCCUACCAGAAGUUAAAGAAAAACAUGAGUUCUUAAACAGACUUAAACAACUUCCGUUACUGGAGAGUCAGAUUGCCACCAUUGAGCAAAGUGCACCUUCUCAGAGUGAUCAAGAGCAAUUGUUUUCUAAUGUUCAGUACUUUGCACAUUACUGCAGGAAAUACGCACCCCUGUAUGCGGCCGAAGCAAAAAGGGUGUUCUCCCUUGAGAAGAAAAUGAGUAACUACAUACAGUUCAAGUCCAAAUGCCGUAUUGAACCUGUAUGCUUGCUCUUGCACGGGAGUCCUGGUGCAGGGAAGUCAGUUGCCACUAACCUGAUUGGGCGCUCACUCGCGGAGAAGCUUAAUAGCUCUGUGUACUCUCUACCACCAGACCCAGACCAUUUUGACGGUUACAAACAACAGGCCGUUGUGAUCAUGGAUGAUUUAUGCCAGAACCCAGAUGGUAAGGAUGUUUCUUUGUUUUGUCAAAUGGUCUCCAGUGUGGACUUUGUACCGCCAAUGGCAGCGCUAGAAGAGAAAGGCAUUUUGUUCACCUCUCCCUUUGUCCUGGCUUCAACCAACGCCGGCUCUAUUAAUGCUCCAACAGUUUCAGACAGUAGGGCACUGGCUAGGAGGUUUCACUUUGAUAUGAACAUCGAGGUCAUUUCCAUGUACAGCCAGAAUGGGAAGAUAAACAUGCCUAUGUCGGUGAAGACGUGUGAUGAAGAGUGUUGCCCAGUCAACUUUAAGAAAUGCUGCCCCUUAGUGUGUGGAAAGGCUAUCCAGUUUAUAGAUAGAAGGACACAAGUCAGAUACUCCCUUGACAUGCUGGUAACUGAGAUGUUCAGAGAAUAUAACCAUAGACAUAGUGUUGGGGCCACCCUUGAGGCGCUAUUUCAGGGCCCGCCAAUAUAUAGAGAGAUUAAGAUCAGUAUUGCGCCAGAGACGCCACCACCACCUGCCAUUGCAGAUCUACUCAAAUCAGUAGACAGUGAGGCUGUGAGGGAGUACUGCAAAGAAAAAGGAUGGCUGGUUCCAGAGAUCAACUCCACCCUGCAGAUUGAAAAGCACGUCAGUAGGGCCUUUAUCUGUUUGCAAGCAUUGACUACUUUUGUCUCAGUAGCAGGAAUCAUCUACAUAAUAUAUAAACUCUUCGCAGGCUUUCAAGGAGCAUACACGGGAAUGCCCAAUCAGAAGCCCAAGGUACCCACUCUCCGUCAAGCAAAAGUACAAGGACCUGUAUUUGAGUUUGCCGUAGCCAUGAUGAAGAGGAAUUCGAGCACAGUGAAAACUGAAUACGGUGAGUUCACUAUGCUGGGUAUCUAUGAUAGGUGGGCUGUUUUGCCACGUCAUGCCAAACCUGGGCCAACCAUCUUAAUGAAUGAUCAAGAAAUUGGUGUGCUAGACGCCAAGGAGUUAGUGGACAAGGACGGUACAAACUUGGAACUGACACUACUUAAGCUGAACCGAAAUGAAAAGUUCAGAGAUAUUAGGGGCUUCUUAGCCAAGGAAGAGGUGGAGGUUAAUGAGGCUGUGCUAGCAAUUAACACCAGCAAGUUCCCUAACAUGUAUAUCCCAGUGGGACAAGUUACAGAGUAUGGCUUCCUGAAUCUGGGUGGUACACCCACCAAGAGAAUGCUUAUGUACAACUUCCCCACGAGGGCAGGUCAGUGUGGCGGAGUGCUCAUGUCCACUGGCAAAGUUUUGGGGAUCCAUGUUGGCGGGAAUGGUCAUCAAGGCUUCUCAGCGGCACUUCUUAAACACUACUUCAAUGAUGAACAAGGAGAAAUCGAGUUCAUUGAAAGCUCAAAGGAAGCAGGGUUCCCAGUCAUCAACACGCCUAGCAAAACUAAAUUGGAGCCAAGUGUCUUCCACCAGGUUUUUGAAGGCAAUAAAGAGCCAGCAGUCCUCAGGAAUGGCGAUCCACGCCUCAGAGCCAACUUUGAGGAGGCCAUAUUUUCCAAAUACAUCGGAAAUGUUAACACACACGUGGAUGAAUACAUGCUGGAAGCUGUUGACCAUUAUGCUGGUCAAUUGGCAACCUUAGACAUCAGCACCGAGCCAAUGAGAUUGGAAGAUGCUGUAUAUGGUACUGAAGGCCUUGAGGCUCUUGAUUUAACAACGAGUGCGGGCUACCCGUAUGUCGCUCUGGGCAUUAAAAAGAGGGACAUCCUCUCAAAGAAGACCAGAGACCUGACCAAGCUGAAGGAGUGCAUGGACAAGUAUGGCCUAAACCUACCAAUGGUAACCUAUGUGAAAGAUGAACUCAGAUCUGCAGAGAAGGUGGCGAAAGGGAAAUCUAGGCUAAUUGAGGCAUCCAGUUUGAAUGACUCCGUGGCAAUGAGACAAACAUUUGGCAACCUAUACAAAACUUUUCACCUAAACCCAGGGAUUGUAACUGGCAGUGCCGUCGGGUGUGAUCCAGAUCUCUUUUGGAGCAAGAUACCAGUGAUGUUGGAUGGCCAUCUCGUAGCUUUUGAUUAUUCUGGAUAUGACGCUAGCUUGAGUCCCGUAUGGUUUGCCUGUCUAAAGCUACUGCUUGAGAAACUUGGUUACUCGCACAAGGAGACCAAUUACAUUGACUACCUGUGCAACUCCCAUCACCUGUACAGGGAUAAACAUUACUUUGUGCGGGGUGGCAUGCCAUCAGGAUGCUCUGGCACAAGCAUCUUCAACUCAAUGAUAAAUAACAUCAUAAUCAGGACACUAAUGUUGAAGGUGUACAAAGGGAUCGACUUGGAUCAAUUCAGAAUGAUUGCUUAUGGUGAUGACGUGAUCGCAUCAUAUCCGUGGCCCAUAGAUGCGUCCCUGCUUGCUGAAGCUGGUAGGGAUUGUGGGUUGAUCAUGACACCAGCAGACAAAGGGGAUUGCUUCAAUGAAGUCACCUGGGCUAAUGUCACAUUUCUAAAGAGGUAUUUUAGAGCAGAUGAACAGUACCCCUUUUUAGUGCACCCCGUCAUGCCUAUGAAAGACAUACAUGAAUCAAUCAGAUGGACCAAGGACCCAAAGAACACCCAAGAUCAUGUGCGCUCGUUGUGCUUAUUGGCCUGGCACAACGGGGAGCACGAAUAUGAGGAGUUCAUCCGCAAAAUUAGAAGCGUCCCAGUUGGAGCUUGCUUGACUCUACCUGCGUUUUCAACUCUACGCAGGAAGUGGUUGGACUCUUUUUAAAUUAGAGACAAUUUGAACUAAUUUUAAUUGGCUUAACCCUACCGCACUAACCGAACUAGAUAACGGUGCAGUGGGGGUAAAUUCUCCGCAUUCGGUGCG